rnacentral:rRNA from 1 species
AUUGAACGCUGGCGGCAUGCCUUACACAUGCAAGUCGAACGCGAAAGCGGGGCAACCCGCAAGUAGAGUGGCGAACGGGUGAGUAAUACAUCGGAACAUAUCCAGUAGCGGGGGAUAACCUGUCGAAAGAUAGGCUAAUACCGCAUACGACCUACGGGUGAAAGCGGAGGACCGAAAGGCUUCGCACUAUUGGAGUGGCCGAUGUCGGAUUAGCUAGUUGGCGGGGUAACGGCCCACCAAGGCGACGAUCCGUAGCUGGUCUGAGAGGACGGCCAGCCACACUGGAACUGAGACACGGUCCAGACUCCUACGGGAGGCAGCAGUGGGGAAUUUUGGACAAUGGGCGCAAGCCUGAUCCAGCCAUGCCGCGUGAGUGAAGAAGGCCUUCGGGUUGUAAAGCUCUUUCGGCGGGGACGAAAUGGUCCGUGCUAACACCACGGAUUGAUGACGGUACCCGAAGAAGAAGCACCGGCUAACUACGUGCCAGCAGCCGCAGUAACAC